GCCAGGCCUGGGGGGAGGGCAAGGCCGGGCUUGGUACCCAGUCACUCGGGUCAAGCUCUGUCCCUGGGGCAUGCAGACAGGGUACCCAGGACUGGGGAGGAAUUGGGGGGGAGGGUCUCACAUUGCAGGCGUUUUUCUUGGAGUCGGGGAUGCCAGCGCACAGCAUGGAAUUUUCCAGUAAGUCCUUGUAAACCUUCGUGCAGUCCUGGGGGGAGAUGAGCUUGACAUCCACGCACAUGAGGUCAUUAACAUGGGUCUGUGUGGAGUAGCCGGGGUGGCGGAAUGACUUCGAGGCCUUGAUCCUCUGAGCUCUCCUGUCGCCCAGCGUAUCACUGCCCAG
rnacentral:lncRNA from 1 species